UGAAGCCUGACACGAAACGCAUUGCUCUAAAAAUAUCCCGGACUGAGCUUACGUUGCGGAAAAUAGAGUUUUAUACUGCCUGCGUGUACCUGUAUGUUCUAAAACUGGCUCAACUUGCGCAUUUGAGACGCGUUAUUACCGGUUGCAGGAAGAAUCGCAGUACUAUUUGAGCAUUAGAGUGUUUCGGAAAACAAUAAUUAGCCGUUUUCCACCAUGGGACUUCCCAAAAAGUUUGUUUAGUAUGCACAUAUUGGAACAGAAAGAAGAUGAACUUGAACUUGUUGUCGGAAUUGCGGUUUGCAGAUUUCCGCGUCAUUUCCGAUUUGCAACCACGAUUUGAUAAGAAGUCUAUUGUUGAUGCGUAUAACCCGAGGUGGUUGGCGGUGCUCGUUGGAGGUGGUUGGCG
rnacentral:lncRNA from 1 species